CUUUUAUAAAGAUGACAGGUCUAUUUUUGUUUUCGUUUAUAAUUAGAACCUUAACAUAUACAGUUUACAAACUUUCCUUAGGCCAUUUUACCUCUAUCAAAGUUAUAAAAAGGGCAGUGUGGAGAAGGAAAAGAAGUGAAAGAGCUGUGCACUGACCUGUACUUGCGGUUGACCUCGUCAGCAGUGAGCGCGUGAUCAAACAUGAGCACUUUGUGUGAGUCCUGCAGACGAGGCCCUGUGUACUCUCUGUGCUCGAGUUCCACCGCAGCGUCCAGCAGGGACAAAUAGCGGCGUACAAUCAGAGCAUACGGACUGUCUGCAGAGCAGCACACAGCAAACAAUCCAGCUUAGUGCCACAGGCUGAAAUAGGAGUCCGUUAUAAAGACGUGUCUGGCUAGUUUUAAAACCUAUUAUCGUGGACUCACUGGUGACGUUGCUGAUGAAGGAGGGUGAGAAGACCCGGUGCAGCACCAGGCUGGGAAAGUGUCCGAGCUGGAAGAGGGACAUGAGGAUGUUGACUGUAGCCAGUGGUGAGCUCAGAGCCUU